CACGAUUGCGCGUUGAGGACGGUCCGCCGUGCAUUAUGUUUUCUAGUCACGACUGGGACUCCCUAUAUAAAGACGCAGAAGGAUCAGAUGGCAGUAAUACAUUAAUAUCACAUCAUCUGGCAUCGUCUUGUCUAGCGUCUACUAGAUCAGGCUUAUCGCUCCUUUUUAAAUAACAAGAUAUAUCAACAAAACCCAUCAACAUGUUCAAAUUGGCAGUGUUGCUCGCACUCGCUGCUCUACUUCUCAUCGGAUCAGCUGUGGCUAAACCUCAACUGUUAGUGGACUACGGGUAUUACUCACCGGCGUACUACAGCACACCAUUGGCAUACUCCUACCCCUACGCCUACGCAUACUCUUACCCUCUCGCGUAUUACUAAUCAUGUCUUUAUUGAUGUACUAACGCCACCGAAAUGCCGCCUGGUUCUUAGUAUAAAAAUUACACUUACUGGAAGCAACAGACACCUUUUAGUUAACACUACAAAUAUAAUAUUUCAGUUGUGAUUGUACGCUCAAUUUACAGGUUUAUUUUAUUAUUUACUCAAAGAUUAUUUAUUUAUUCCUGUAUAAUUGCGCUAUAUUUUGUAGGACCAUAGAAACUUCUGGUAGUGAGCAAUAAUGAAUAAAUCGGAUAGUACCUGCCUGCUGUGCAUGUAUAUACACGAGUAAUAAUAUAUGAUAAGAUAAUGUAUCGAUCCAAUAUUAUUAAAUAAAAAAUAUUAUGAACGAA